GUGGGGAAUUUUGGACAAUGGGCGCAAGCCUGAUCCAGCAAUGCCGCGUGCAGGAAGAAGGCCUUCGGGUUGUAAACUGCUUUUGUACGGAACGAAACGGUCCGGGUUAAUACCCUGGGCUAAUGACGGUACCGUAAGAAUAAGCACCGGCUAACUACGUGCCAGCAGCCGCGGUAAUACGUAGGGUGCAAGCGUUAAUCGGAAUUACUGGGCGUAAAGCGUGCGCAGGCGGUUUUGUAAGACAGGCGUGAAAUCCCCGGGCUCAACCUGGGAAUUGCGCUUGUGACUGCAAGGCUGGAGUGCGGCAGAGGGGGAUGGAAUUCCGCGUGUAGCAGUGAAAUGCGUAGAUAUGCGGAGGAACACCGAUGGCGAAGGCAAUCCCCUGGGCCUGCACUGACGCUCAUGCACGAAAGCGUGGGGAGCAAACAGGAUUAGAAACCUCGGUAGUCC
rnacentral:rRNA from 1 species